rnacentral:sRNA from 1 species
UCCUUCCAAAGAACAGUUAGAGCAGGAAAAACAACUACUACUUUCUUUCAAGCCAGUAAUGCAGAAAUUUCUUCAUGAUCACGUUGAUCUACAAGUCAGUGCCCUGUAUGCUCUUCAGGUGCACUGCUAUAACAGCAACUUCCCAAAAGGCAUGUUACUUCGCUUUUUUGUGCACUUCUAUGACAUGGAAAUUAUUGAAGAAGAAGCUUUCUUGGCUUGGAAAGAAGAUAUAACCCAAGAGUUUCCGGGAAAAGGCAAGGCUUUGUUCCAGGUAAGUCUUUUGUUAAAAAAUUUGGUCUGCUUAUUUCAGUUUGCUUGGUAUUAACUUCAAGUUAAGAGCCUUUUUCAACUGAAAUACAGGCAAGGUAGUCCUAGUUAGUAGUUUGUCUUCACCUGUACAUUUCAUUCUGUACUAUUUAAAGCUAUGAUUAAGUAAAGCUACACAAUGAAUCAAUUCUAGUGGUGUAUAAGAUGUUAGAGGUAGCUAACUUUUCAAGGAGUAUAGCUACUUAUAUACAUGG